rnacentral:lncRNA from 1 species
UUGUUGAGAAGCACGACGGCGGAAAGGACCUUUCCUCGCAAGUUAUGGUCCUCCUCAACUGCAAUACGCCAAUAAUUGGUAUGCUUUUCUUUUUUCUUUUAAUUUAAGAGUGACCAAGACUAUCUGUAAUUUAAUUACUUGGGCUUUAAAUUUUACACCUCAGCUUUUUUGGAUGAAAAAUUAUCUUUUAACCUUACUACAGAUUUACUUCGAAGGGAGGGCUUGUGGUUUCCGUCACAUAAAACUCAAAUGAAAGGUUGUCCAAGUGAAAGCACAAGAGAAAAUAUUUUUAUAAGAAAGCACAAGAGAAGACACUGAACUUUUGCGAAAUGUGAUUUUGAUAGAAGAAAAGAUAUUGAGGCAUUUGCAAUGUAAUGUUUUGAUUUUUAAGGGUGUUUAAUUGCAUGGCUAAUUUAUGUUUCUUUUAUUUUUACUUUCUUUUUGAAUAGUACAUUUUUUUUUCCCAUGAAAAAAAAAAAAAACAGGGC